rfam:Clostridium sp. SY8519 DNA, complete genome.
AAGUGAACAGCGGGGAGCUUGAGGAUGACAGCAUCCGGACAGGCUGAGAGGAAGGUACACCUUCGACCCAUACACCUGAUUUGGAUAAUGCCAACGUAGGAAAGUCUGGAAAUAAGAUGA